rnacentral:lncRNA from 1 species
AUUGAUAUCAACUUCAUGUACAUGGAUAUAGGCCAUUGGUAGGAAACAACGACAAUCAAUAUAAGCAGUAAGAUGAUUUGCUUAACCAAUAGAGAAAAGUUUUCAAAAAAGUCAAUGAUGAUAAAAUCCUAUAGCCACCAGCAAUUUUCUUUAACUCUAAACACUCGCCGGCCACAGAUUUCAUGUUUGGUUUAAGGGAACUAGGCUUCAAAUACAGGACAUCAAACUCCUCCUGCGUGGCAGAAUGGCAUAAUGUGUCAAGCAGAGCUUGCUUCCUUGACAUUCCUUGGUUUAAAAGAAGAGAGGAAUGAUCCUAUACAUGUUAGGCGAAGUUUUUAGAUUUAUUUUAGAUUUAAGAACACUAGAAACUCAGAGGAACUUGGGUAGAAGAUGGUGGAAUUGAGGGACUAUGAGGAGAAGAAGAUUGCGCAGUGGAGGCUGAUGCUGCAAAGCAAGUACAACAUACAUAUGUAUGUCUGACUAGGGGAAUAUGAACUCAUUGAAUAAGACAAUAAUAUCCUUUGAA